GAAAUGCGAUACUUGGUGUGAAUUGCAGAAUCCCGUGAACCAUCGAGUCUUUGAACGCAAGUUGCGCCUGAAGCCAUUAGGCUAAAGGCACGUCUGCCUGGGCGUCACGCAUCGCGUCACCCAUCCCCAAUUCUUGUGGAUGUGGUGGAUUGUGACCUCCUGUGCCCUGAGGUGCAGUUGGUCGAAAUUCGAGUUCGGAGUUAAGGACUUCACGACAAGUGGUGGUUGGACGACCAACUCGCGUCAUGUCGUGUGCCAAACCUUCGUGGCUCUCAAGACCCUAAGGCACGUGCUACCCGACUCUUGGGUCGGAAAACUCGUGCUACGACCGCGACCCCAGGUCAGGCGGGAUUACCCGCUGAAUUUAA
rnacentral:misc_RNA from 1 species